CUAGACCUCUAGACCUCCUCCAGACCUCCUCUCUAGACCUCCUCCAGACCUCCUCCAGACCUCUAGACCUCCAAACCUCCUCUAGACCUCCUCCAAACCUCUAGACCUCCUCCAGACCUCCUCCAGACCUGUAGACCUCCAAACCUCCUCCAGACGUCUGUCACCUUGGUCCCUGUUUACAUUCACUCCUUAUAGGUUGGGAGUACUGAAUAGUUGUCCCAGAGGGCUCUCCUUGUGUUCCCGAGGAGAGCGGAUUCUCAGAGUCCAGCGUAUCCAUUUGAGCAGUCACUCUGUUGGCUGCUGAGGUCUCCUCUUUAAUAGAGAGUCCUCUCUAACCAUGAUGGAUGAGCAGCUCUAAGGUCACCUGGAUCCGUACUGUCUUUAGAUGAGCUGCAACAUCAGCACUGAUCAGACCUCAUCUCUCCUCCUCUCAGAGGAAAGGUCACUGUGUCAGUAGACCUGAUCAGGACUAACGGGAACCUUCACCGACUGCUCCGCCACACAAACACUCUACUGCUUUUACUGUGAUACAGACACUUAUUCUUUAUUCUUGGUUGGUAAGAUAGAGUAAGGGUUGGUAAGAUAGCGUUAGGGUUGAUAAGAUAGAGUUAGGGUUGUUAUGAUAGAGUUAGGGUUGGUAAGAUAGAGUUAGGGUUGUUAAGAUAGAGUUAGGGUUGAUAAGAUAGAGUUAGGGUUGUUAUGAUAGAGUUAGGGUUGGUAAGAUAGAGUUAGGGUUGUUAAGAUAAAGUUAGGGUUGGUAAGAUAGAGUUAGGGUUGGUAAGAUAGAGUAAGGGUUAUUUAGGAUCAGUUUUAGUAAGAUAUAGUUAGUUAUUUAUGUUUAGGGUUAGGUUAGUAUAGUGAGGGCUAUUUAGAGUUAGGUUUAUUUCGGGUUAGAGAUAUUUUGGGGUUCAGUGAGGGUUAUUUGGGGUCAGGUAGUGAGGGUUAUUUGGGGUUUGGCAGUGAGGGUUAUUUGGGGUUAGGCAGUGGGGGUUAUUUGGGGUUAGGUAGUGAGGAUUCGUGGGGCUAGGUAUUGAGGGUUAUUUGGGGUUAGGUAGUGAGGGUUCAUGGGGCUAGGUAUUGAGGGUUAUUUGGGGUUAGGUAGUGAGGGUUCGUGGGGCUAGGUAUUGAGGGUUAUUUGGGGUGCUGGUGGUGAAUCAGGCGUCGGCCUCAUCUGAAACCGUCUCCAGCUAGCUGCUAAAACAUCCAACAUCAUUUAUGCAAAUGUAAUUAGGCUCUGGGAAGGCGAUCGCAGCGUCGCCGCGCCAACGGAGAUCCAUCAUCACAACACGGCCUCUAAACAUUCAAUUAAAGUCUUGGAUUUCACCAGAUUUAAUCUGACCGUAAUAAAUUAGCCAGCGAGGGAGAGACGCCCUCCAGGCUGGCACCGGCCAGGGGACGAACCCGACCCCCCCCACACACACACACAUCCCCGAACCCUACCCCCCACCCCAGCGACCCAACAUGUCCGUUGUGGAGCCAGGGAGACGGCGUUGGCUGCUCUGGUGACGGGAGGAGCUAGAGGAGGAUUUAGUCUGUGUCCAAACAAGAAGCCAUUGGCGAACUAGAGCUAGCUUCAAGGUCAGAGGACAGGCAGUCUUGUGACCUAGGGUUAGGAGCCACACCGGUCAUAGCGGCGGCUGAAAAACGAAUCAAACCGUCUUUAAAAUGUUUUCACGGUAAACAACCAGCUGUCGAACAGAGGCAGCCUUCAAACUGCAGGAUGACAACAGCAGACUUUUUUCUGUUUUUCUCGUGGUGAGAACAUGGAUGUCAGACGUGUUAGCUGCUUCGUUUCCACGGUGAUAAACCUUCCACUCCAAAGGUGAUGAAAGGCCUCUGACACCCAACGCAUAUGCACAUGUACAAG
ensembl:lncRNA